AGUCUGGGCGCUAAAACGCAAACUUUUAUUUCCCCCAACAUAUUUGCCCCCAACAGUACCCUUAUCCACAUCGACGAACCCCAUAAAAUCAAGCUCCAUUUUCUUCCACCCGCAAAUCGUUGGUCACCCCUGUUUGCGACGAAUUGAUCACCAUUUUAAGGCUUCAUUGCAUAAACUCCUCUAUUGUUCUUACUAGCCCAUUUUUGAAGUCCCAUUUUCCCACACCCUUCUCCCCUUCGUUCUCGUUUCUUCAUUUUCACCUCCCUGCAAAUCCACCCAUUGGUUACCCCAAUUUGCAUGCGGCUUUCUCACUUGAUUGUCCUCCCGCGAAAGCUUGCCAUACAUUUCCUUCACCUACAAAAUCACUGCACAAUGCCUCCAUUUUCAUUUCAGAGUUAACAUUUCAGGCUUCAAGUAUUGUCGACCGAGGCUGAUUUUUAGGGAAUAUACUCCAUACAGAUUGUAGGAUGGACAUCGAGUGCUUUUGAUUUAAUGGGCAUUGGCUGAGCCCGGCAUAAUUGUUGGUGAGCCAUUUCAAUCAGGGGCGAGCUUAAACUUGUUUAGUUGGGUAUUGAAGGAAACAAUUGCAUCUACAGCUGCAAAUCCUUAUUUUUCAUUUCAAGAAUUCUCAAAACACAGAUGGAUGUUUUAUAUCUUUGUUCAAUUAAUGGAACCCUGCUUCUUGCUCUUGUUUUGCAAUAACUCUUCGUUCUAAUUGGUAACUAUUUACAAGGGAUCACUUCAUGAUCAUAUCAAUGCAUCUCCCUUCACUUGACAUGUGA